rnacentral:tRNA from 3 species
GGAGGAUUGGCCGAGUGGUAAGGCACCGGCUUGCUAAGCCGUGAUCGGGUCCUGACGGCCCGCGCGCGUUCGAUCCGCGCAUCCUCCG